AUUGUUAGUAUAUAAAUAUAUGCAAAGCAAAAAAUUAUGGCGGUAUUUUAAGCUUUUCAGAGGAAUUUGCUCUUUAAUGGAUAAAACACCAAAAUCUUACUUGAAUUAGCUAAAACAGUUUGUAUACCACUAUUAAAACAAUUAUUAACUUUAAUUGUUUCAAAUAAUUUUUUAUUAAAAAAAUUAAGUCAUGGUGCAGUAAAAGUUUAAGGAUGAAGUGAAUUACAUAACUUUAAAGUGAUAAAAGUUUAAAAACAAUUUAGGAUUUGAAAGUAAAAUUAAAAUAUAAUGUUAGUUUGAAUUAAGCUCUAAAAUAUGUAC
rnacentral:rRNA from 1 species